rnacentral:snRNA from 1 species
UGUCCUCCAUCGGAGGUCUAUAUUGAGCAGAUUCUUUUUGGUGUUGGGUGGUGGAACCGGAGCUUGCUCCAUCCACUCCAUGCAUUGACCUGGUACAGCAGUGCUUCCAGGACCGGUGC